CCCCAUUCUGCCCUCUUCUUCUUCUUCUUCUUCUUCUUUGAACAUCGCGCAAAAACUCCAUUGCAGCCAGAAAUGGCUCUUCCUACUGCUCAUCUACUUCUCAGUCUAAUGCUACUGUUCUUUGCUUCGCUCGCCACUAAUUCAUCCUCGCAGUCGCAGCCCUUCAAAUGCACCACAUCCGCCACUUGCCACGCCCUGAUUGACUAUGUCUCUCCGAAUACCAGCACACUCUCCGCCAUUGAAGCCCUAUUUUCAAUCAAAAACCUCCGCUCCCUCCUCGGCGCUAAUAAUUUCCCUCUCUCGACCUUACCCAACCAAACUGUAGCCGCGCAGCAGACUAUCAAGAUCCCCUUCACUUGCUUGUGCUCCAACGGGACUGGCAUCUCUAACAAGAAACCCACCUACAUCGUUCAAUCAGGCGACGACCUUGAUCAUAUCGCUAGGGAGGUGUUCUCAGGAUUGGUGACGAAUCAGCAAAUCGCGGCCGUUAAUAAUAUAAAGAACGCGAGCUUGAUUCAUCCAAGGGAUGAGCUGUGGAUUCCGUUACCGUGCAGCUGCGAUGAGGUAGGAGGAGAGAGAGUUGUCCAUUAUGGACACGUGGUGGAAGCCGGGAGCACGCUGGAGUUGAUUGCAGAGGAAUACGGCACUACUAAAGACACGCUUAUGAGCCUUAAUUCAAUUGUUAAUGACAGUUCUCUCAUGGCUGGCCAAGUUCUUGAUGUCCCACUCAAAGCUUGUAAUUCAUCGGUGAUCGCUAGCU
rnacentral:misc_RNA from 1 species